CCUACGGGGGGCUGCAGUGGGGAAUAUUGGACAAUGGGGGCAACCCUGAUCCAGCCAUGCCGCGUGUGUGAAGAAGGCCCUCGGGUUGUAAAGCACUUUCAGUGAGGAAGAACGCCUGGUGGUUAAUACCCAUCAGGAAAGACAUCACUCACAGAAGAAGCACCGGCUAACUCCGUGCCAGCAGCCGCGGUAAUACGGAGGGUGCGAGCGUUAAUCGGAAUUACUGGGCGUAAAGCGCGCGUAGGUGGCUUGAUAAGCCGGUUGUGAAAGCCCCGGGCUCAACCUGGGAACGGCAUCCGGAACUGUCAAGCUAGAGUGCAGGAGAGGAAGGUAGAAUUACCGGUGUAGCGGUGAAAUGCGUAGAGAUCGGGAGGAAUACCAGUGGCGAAGGCGGCCUUCUGGACUGACACUGACACUGAGGUGCGAAAGCGUGGGUAGCAAACAGGAUUAGAUACCCCGGUAGUC
rnacentral:rRNA from 1 species